GAGAGUUUUUUUUGCUACUAGUAUGUGCAAACUUCUUCAAAUUUUUUGUGCUUGUUUUUAACUUAGUUUUUAUAAAAUAUAAAAAUUUUGAGUCAAAAUCAAUAGUUUAAUCAUUGAUUAUUAAAUUUUUAAUUUAUUAUAGAAUUAUUAGGAUUAAUUUAUGAUUUAAGGAUUGAUUAAGAAUUGAUUAAGAUUGAUUUAGGAUCUAAAAUUUGAUUAGGAUUUGAUUAAGAUUUAGAAUUAUAUUUGAAUUUGAUUAGAAUUUGUAUAUGGUUUGAUUAGGAUUUAAGAUUUUAUUUGGAUUUGAUUAAAAUUUGGUUAGGAUUUGUUUAGGAUUUGAUUAGGAUUUUACCUGGAUUUAUUAGGAUUUUUUUGGAAUUUAGGAUUUUAUUAGGAUUUCAUUAAGAUUUAUUAAGAUUUUAAUUAAAGUUAAAUUAAAAUUUAGCUAGGAUUUAUACAAGAUUUAUUUAAUCUUUCUAUUUUAAAUAUUUUUAAAAGAUUAUAUUUCUACUAUUUUUUUAAAAUUAUUAUUUUUUCUUUAAAGGUUUAUUUUUAUAUUUCUUCAAGAUUUUUUUUAUUAUUUUUCUUUGAAAUUAAUUGAUAAAUUUU
rnacentral:lncRNA from 1 species